rnacentral:sRNA from 1 species
CGGGAUAGUACCGGACGAUUUGUGAGC